rnacentral:rRNA from 1 species
GUGUCAGCAGCCGCGGUAAUACGUAGGGGGCGAGCGUUGUCCGGAUUCAUUGGGCGUAAAGAGCUCGUAGGCGGCCGGCUAAGUCAGGUGUGAAACCUCCAGGCUCAACCUGGAGCCGCCACCUGAUACUGGUCUGGCUAGAGUCCGGUAGGGGACCACGGAAUUCCUGGUGUAGCGGUGAAAUGCGCAGAUAUCAGGAGGAACACCGGUGGCGAAGGCGGUGGUCUGGGCCGGCACUGACGCUGAGGAGCGAAAGCGUGGGGAGCAAACAGGAUUAGAUACCCCCGUAGUCC